UCAUUGGUGGGUCAGUGGUAGAAUUCUCACCUUUCAUGUAGGAGACCCAGGUUCAAUUCCCGGCCAAUGCA
rnacentral:tRNA from 1 species